rnacentral:rRNA from 1 species
AGUGAACGCUGGCGGCGUGCCUAACACAUGCAAGUCGAACGAUGAUGGAGAGCUUGCUCUCCUGAUCAGUGGCGCACGGGUGAGUAUACCAUAGAUAAUGUACCCCUUAGUUCGGGAUAGCCACUGGAAACGGUGAUUAAUACCGGAUACUCCUUCUCAUUAUAAGAUGAGUCGGGAAAGUUUUUUCGCUAAGGGAUCAGUCUAUGUCCUAUCAGCUAGUUGGUGAGGUAAUGGCUCACCAAGGCUAUGACGGGUAUCUGGUUUGAGAGGAUGAUCAGACACACUGGAACUGAGACACGGUCCAGACUCCUACGGGAGGCAGCAGUGAGGAAUAUUGCACAAUGGAGGAAACUCUGAUGCAGCAACGCCGCGUGGAGGACGACGCAUUUCGGUGUGUAAACUCCUUUUAAGAGGGAAGAUUAUGACGGUACCUCUUGAAUAAGCACCGGCUAACUCCGUGCCAGCAGCCGCCGUAA